rnacentral:rRNA from 1 species
CCCCUAGAUGUCCUGGGCUGCACGCGCGCUACACUGAUGUGUUCAAUAAGCACCUAACCUACUCCGAAGGGACUGGGUAACCUUUGCAAAGCACAUCGUGAUGGGGAUAGAUUAUUGCAAUUACUAGUCUUGAACGAGGAAUUCCUAGUAAACGCAAGUCAUCAGCUUGCAUUGAUUACGUCCCUGCCCUUUGUACACACCGCCCGUCGCACCUACCGAUUGAAUGGUCCGGUGAAAUCUCGGGACGGCGGCUCGGUCGCUUGCGUCCGACUGCUGAAACUUGAUUAAACCAUAUCAUUUAGAGGAAGGUGAAGUCGUAACA